GGAUGAUGCAACGGAACGGGGAUCUUUCGCCGGGCCGUGCGUAGAGGAAACCCGGCGGCCGAUUGCAUCAGCUUUAAGGACGUGGAGUGACAACCUGGCAGAGGUCAACCCUCAGAAGACGGGACCUGUGUCACCUGUUUGCAAAAUUAGAUGUGGUACCCAUUAAGAUAGUUGCAGAAGCUGAGGGCCUGUGGUACAGCAGACCUAUCCAUCUGAGGACGCCUAGGCCUACCCUGUAUGCUUUAAGCCCUGAGAUAAAUAUCUCCAUUCUAUCCUACUGAACAUGUUCUUCACAUCUGGAAAAGUGGAGAUGGCCGUGUAAUUGGAAAGUCCACUCUCCUAAUCCUGAGCUGUACAGAGCACUGGCAAUUCCAAUGUGAGCUACAGGUGCUGAUCAGGCCCAAAACGAGAGGUUUCUAAAUGAGAGCUGCAUUUCUCACCGAGAAAAGAACAAGUGGAAGAGACAGACUAGUGUGAGCAUGCAUUUCUCUGUCCAUAUGCAGAUGUUUUGCCAUAUUGGCAAUAUUUUGAGUUCCAUGGUAAGUACAUAUUGACAAUUGGCAAAGUCUCGGUGGGCCCAAGUUGGGAGGAGAUUGAAGAAAUCAAGGCUUUGCUGUGAUCUGCAGCAAGAACAUGCUCCUUCUCUGUGCAGAGAAAGUACUAUUGGGGGAUUCUGCAUCUUAUGUUUCACAACAGCAGAUGAUCAUUGUUGGCCAGAUUGAGAGCCCCUUACUUGCAAUGAUAAGCAGUUGUUCACAUGAGGAGUCCUGUUGUAACGAUUUGUAUAGGUAGCUGUUCAUCAGUAUUCAGGGUUUACAUUCUGGCCCUGUGUGUUUCCCAACAGAGGUUGUGAGAUGACAAGAGUCUUAUCUUAUUUAAGUGGAAGCAAGAAAUGAACCUUGGAACGUGGCAGGCAGGAGGCUGGAGCUGUCACUUAGCUCUCCUUGUUCUCCAGCCUGGUCACAGACAUGCAAGACUCUAACCCAGCAAUGGAUGAUUAAUUGCUGGACAUAGCGAAGUCUAGGUGCUCGUCAGAAGGGCUACAAACUGGAGAACAGGUUAGUUUUGCGGACAAGUCUUCCAGACAAGUCUUCCAUUGUCCAGGGCUGGCUCCAGCUUUUUGCCGCCCCAAGCGGUGAAGAAAAAAAAUUAAAACAAACAAACAAACGAUUGAGCAGCUGCUGAAGUGCCGACGACGUGUGAAGAGAAGGAGAGUGAAGGACCCAAAGCCAUACUGCCGACGAAGAAUCAGACGUGCCACCCCAACAACAGUGGAAUGCCACCCCUUUCUAUUGGCCGCCCCAGAGACCUGCUUCCUUCGCUGGUACCUAGAUCUGGCCCUGCCAUUGUUAGACUAUCUGGCACCAAAGUGCCCUUGCAGUUCUCCUCUCCAUGCUGAUGGGUGUAUGAGUGUGGGCAAUGGAGGCAUAAGAGAAAAAAUGUUCAUUUAUUUGCAAAGUCUCCUAUCCUAGAUUUUACCUGCCACAGUCUGUUUAACUUCAGCUGAGAUCAUUAACUGGCUGUGUUUAAUCAUUAAGCAGUUAAUAUUAACCUCUAAGUGAAGCAAAAGCCUCCAAUAUCAGCCCAGGUUAGGAGUAAUGAUCUUAAGUGAAGCAGAGGGAAUGUUAAAGUCCAGUUUGGUGCUCGGAAAUUAUAAAUUAGAGCAUUACAUAGGCCAACUGUACCAAUACAGGCAAGCCAUGCCUCAGUUUCCCAUACAGGCCCCAGGGCUGAUGAAGUUGCUCAUCUUCUCCACCAGGGUUCAGACCAACAGUCACCACCUCCUCCCCACCUUGGAAAAGAAUAUUGUCCCUCUCAGAGUUCAUUGAAGCCCUGGCAUAAUUUUAAUACAAGUAACAACAUUCUCCAGCCCCCAAAGUAAGACAGGUUAAAAUGAAGCAAGUCUCCAUCCUCACUGUAGGCUGCCUACCGAAAAGUCAGCCUCAGCACCUAUUUCAUUUCUCAGUUCCUUUUCCCUUUUCCAGGGCCCCACCCUUCAGGCCAUGUACAUCACUGUUAACAGGCCUCUUCUUCAAGCCCUGUACAUCUAUUCCAGUGUCUCCACACCUCGGCCACCUUCAUGCUUGUUGCAACUUUUCUCCUCCACAGCCCUUAACUCAGGGCUUCUGCAGGCUGGCUCCCUGCAGCGUGCCACUCCCCAGACCCCCUUCACCAACACCUACAAAUCUUACCUCUGCUGAGCAUUGUCUCAUGGUAACCUCCCUCCAGAAUCAAUCUUCCUUUACUAGGCUCAGCCUAUCCUGACUGAGCUGGGUCUUCCACUUUGCUUACUGGCCUCUGUCUGAGCUGUCAACACAGCACAUUCCCCAACUCUGGCCAGUCCUUAGCCAAUGCAAAGAGCGUGCUGUGGGUAUCUGCACCAGCAAUUCUCAAGACUGCUCUCUCAAGUCUCACAUAGCUCCCUGCCACGCCUUCCUACCACCUCCCCCCCAACACACACACACUUUUUUUCUUUUCCUGGUGGAGCAGAUUUGACUGGAUAGUCUAUUGUCACCACCAGUUAUACCUCUUAACCACAUAGCAGUUUAUAUUCUCUCAUUGUGCUAAGAGGAGAGAUAUGUGUGCAGGAAUAAAUCAAAUGGGUGCCGAGGAGCCAAUCUGGAAAAAGACUAGGGGAUCUGGCCUCUUCUCUGUGCAUGUGUAAAUGGCGAUGGCUAUUAGCAUUAGUGAUACUAAUGCUUAUAUGUUCAUACUGCAGGGAGAGCAGACCUCCAAGCUAAAGCACAUGGAUGUUAUAGAUGCCAAGAUAAACAGACAGGUGCAAAGGGGAGAUAUGAGGACAAUGAUGUCAUGGAGUGUUGAGGAGAUGGAUGCACAUACAGGGAUAAAGCAGAAGGGGAUAAAGGAGAUGGAAAACUAGAAAUCUGGCAGUUUAUUAUUGCCAGUCAGACAGCUAGUGGAAAGGAAUGUCAUUGAUAUGUUAACAGUGGAAGAAUUAAAACACAUCCUAUCCCAGGCUCACUGACAUUUAAGAAGGAGAAAAAGACAAUUGUAGAUUUAGGUUUUGUGGCCUGAAACUGGUUUUGUCAGGCUAUAGAGAAAUAAAGACCUGUUUUAUAUUUAGCAGUAAACACAUUGCUCCCUCAGGGCAAACAUUCUGUGUGUUAGUCUCAGAUGACUGAUGCAUAAGUACCAACACUGGUUAGGAUUCAGUGCAGCUGUGAAUCACUGCAGAGCAAGAGAACCACAAACAGGUUUGGUAUGAUGUACAGGAACAGAUUGUAACAGAAAUAGUUAUCUUCAGCUCAAAUUUCAGGUCUGUAAAAACAUAUCUCGACAAGCCAUGGAUGUGCAAGGAUUGGAAGAUGUGUUCUUGUUAUUAAGAAAGGGACUGUACUGUACAGAAAUCACUAACAGUGAGAUAACACAGGGAGUCCUAGGACAGGAGGAACAUUGGCCCAUUUCCAUCCACCCUGCUUGGCAUUGCUUUCCGUUCUCUGCAGGGAAAAGAGGAGAGAAUUUCAACAUACAUUUACUUCUCUCCCCUCCGGCUUCAGUGACUACGCUCAGUUUGGAAGUGACUCACAGAUUCAUACAAACGUAGGGCUGGAAGGGACUUUGAAAGGUUCCACCAGUGCUUCAUGCACUGGGCCAGAGCUGCAAGUGAUAUAAAUUGGCAUCGCUUUGUUGAUUACGGUGGAGCUACAUUGAUUUCCACCAGCCAAGGAGCUGGCUCACUGUCUCUAGUGAGACUGACUCAGUGCAAUUCUUACGGCAGCAACAAAUGCUCUUCAGACCUGAAUAUGGACAGGACAAAGACAAAUUGCUAUGAACCAUCUGCAUUUGGUUAGCUUAAACAAACCAAGUGGGAAAGAUAUUACCACAGCUUCUGAAUAAAGGAUUGGAUGAUAUAAGAUGAAGUGGGGAAGGGUGGGGCACGGUGGCUACAUCCAAAGGGAUUAGACGUUCAUUGGGAAUUUUGACUCAGGUGUACAAAUACAUUUGAAUCAAUGUUAUUCUGUCCUGAAGGGGGGGACAAUAAAAAGAAAGGGCAAAGGUUCACUGGUGACAUCCCAGUGUCUUUUUCUAAACCAACUGUAGCGACUGUAGUGCUAGUGUAACAUGCUGAUUGACAGCUCCAGUGACCAAUGCCCUAAACAGUGAGGCAGGCUUCCCAUGCUGUCCUGGGACUGUGGUUCCAUCUUCAUGAUGCCUUGUGUACUGUCGGCUCUCUACAAAUAAUGAAUUAUUAAUAACUUGGGGGAAUCCACCCAUAAGAGUGAGAGGGAAGUUCAGACUGCUGACGCAGCCAACCCCGAGUCUGUUUACUGAUACUGGUACCAGUAAGUGCCAGCUGAGUGUGUAGUUUUUGUGAUAUUGAGUGUCAAUCCAAGAAGUGGACUGAGACCAACUCAUUGCACAUAGAUCACAUGACUCGCCUUCAGCUAGUAAUUAAUUUUAAUCACCUCUAACCUAACCUGAAACUGACUGGUGAUCUCAUAAUGAAAAACUCCAUGUAAUCUAUUAGCAAUCCCUUGUAUGAAAGAGUCUCUGACAUCUCAGUGUUUUACCUGGAAAUCAUCUAAAGAAACCAGUUCUCUUGGAGGUUGUUUGCUUCUAUACAAAAGAAUGUCCCAAUUGUUGUACGUUUUCCACAAUUUUCUCCCCCCCUCACACCCAGGAAUCAAUGCAGUUUCAGCACUGCUUCUAUAGGCCAUGGACUACCUGGACAUGCCAGUGUUGCUCUGGCCACAUAGUGAUAGUUACUCUGUCUUGGAACUGUUAUUUCUCAGUCAGCCAGACCACAUCUCUGUCCUAGUGCUUACUGUAUCCGACUGAUCAUCUCUUCCAGGCACUGAUCCUGUCCUGGCACUCUCAGAGGGCUUAUCUAUAUGGGUUUGAGCAGUUCUAGAGAUCACAAGUUCUCUGAAUGAAAAGGGGAACUUGUGCUUUAUAUUUUUUCACCCUACAGUUCCUGAGUGUAAUUUCUUCAUAAUGAACUGAAGAUCUGGUUGAUUUUGAAGUGAUUUGUCUUAGUUAAUUUAAAGAAGGCCACAUGUUGACUUAUUAGAAUGCUCCAUUCCAGUAAUAUCACGAAAACAAACUGGCCUGUAUGGGCAAUUAGAUAAUAGGCCAGAUCCUCAGCUGGUAUAAAUUGUCCUAGCUCCAUUGACUUCAGUGAAGAUAUGUCAGUUUACACCAGCUGAGGAGCUGGUGCAACAUGUCCACAAUUACUUCUGCUCUUAGAGCCACAGAACAUUUCUCAUGACAGAUAUUAGAUCUUCUAAGCCAAGGGUUCUCAAACUUCAUUGUACUGCAACCCCAUUCUGACAAUAAAAGUUACUACACAACCCCAGGACAGGAGAACGAAGCCUGAGCCCCACUCAAUGGGGGGCAGGAGGGAAUGUGUGGAAAAGCUGAAGCCCAAGGGCUUCAGCCCCAGGCAGGGGGCCUGUAACCUGAGUUCCAACAUGAAGGGCUGAAACCCUCAGGCUUUGGCCUCGGGCGGUGGGGCUCAGGCUUCGGCCCUAGGCCCCAGCAAGUCUAAGCUAGCCCUGGCGACCCCAUUACAAUGGCUCAUGACACACUUUGGAGACCUGACCCAUAGUUUGAGAACCACUGUUCUAACCCAUAAAGAAAUAGGACUUUAUGUCUCAAUCUCAGUAGAAAUUCUGUCAGCGAUCAGGAGGACAUUAGAUUCAACCUAGUGGGCACAAGCUUAGACUACAGGAGCUUUUUAUUAAGAGCACAAAUUGCAAAGCUUCAUUAAAGAGAAAGAGAGUCAAGAGAAUGUGAACUCUAAUAAAAGAGAAAAUUGAAAUACUUCCUAAAUCCACUGUCUAUGACAAAGAAAACCAAAAAUGAUUUAGUAAGAGCCAGCAUCUUAAAACAUCAUUAUGGAUCUGUCACAGGGUGAGAUGGGCUUUUAUAGCACUCAUGUCCUAGCUUUGACCUAUGCUUUGCAGUCCCUUCCAAGACCAUGUGACUGUGAACCAGGAGCAAGGCCUUUGAAGAAAGCAAGUUAAAAGUCAGGUCCUACCUCUCAGUAAUGAAGAUAGCUCAAAGGGGCUCUCCAGCCACCAGGUGUAAGGAAGUGUUGACUGAUUUUUAAUCUGGCCAAGAAAUCAGCCUAGAUUCUCCUCCGUAUCCGACAUCUGUCAUUGGGUUGUUAGCCCCCAAGAAAACUUACAAGGUUAAGAUAUAGAUAAAACUGUUAUUUUAUGUUUAACACAACAGUUAAAACAGUAAUAGAGGAAUAAAUACUAAAGACUUCCUCUAUGACUAUAGAGGACCAAAUAUAAACACAGCUAUGGCUGUAACAACAAGGGGCUUAAAGCCCUGACCCAAAACUAUAUAGAGGACAGGUGAUAGGAGCCUAGAUGUCUCUUUACCAUGUCUUGCAGGUUGGUUACAGACACCCACCGACACGAUAGGACAGAGCACUAAAUGCAGGCAGUGACAGCAGGCUCCUGAGGCUGGGACCUCCAGACAGGUAAGUUGACAACUCUGUUCUUCUCUUCAUAGACCUUCCACCCUGUGCCGUCAUGUGUCCAUGAGUGAACUGGAACCAAAUGGCAGCAGAUGGAUGGGUAUCCUCACAUAGAGGUACUCUAAUGAGUGCAUCUGGGCCCCAGCUGAGCUGCCUGAUUGGCCUAACCCUCCGAUUGGCUGAGGGGAUCAGCAGACUUGUUCUGAAGGCUGCAACAGGUAUUAGAGCUUCUAAACCAUAAUGAGAGAGGUGCUGAGACAUUAACAGCUGCAGUAAUCACAGAUGGGUUGUCUGUGAGUCUCCAAGUUUGUUCUUGUGAUGUUGUUGAAGGGGAACUUUGUCUUCAAGUAAGUCAACAUGUGUCUUCCUUAAGUUAAACUAAUGUGAACCACUCCAAAAUCAAUUCUCUUUAGUUUAUUAUGAAGAAAUGCCCCUCACAGGCAGUGUGGAAUGAGGAAAUAGAAAGCACAAGUUCCCAUUUGUGCUCACAAAUGCCACAGCUGCAAUGUCUUUAAAAGCACAUCCGUUUUAUUUCAAUAUAAACAGAACGAAGCACUUCUUGUCAGUGUCACGGGGUUGGCAGUGGAUCUCGUUGCAUCUUCUAUGUGGUUCCCAGCCUGGUAAAUAAAACUUCUAUGAAACUUCA